rnacentral:lncRNA from 1 species
UUAAAAGAUAGAACAGUCCAGUCAAGUGCCAUGUCGCUUAUUCUUGAUCAGCUAUAGCUCUGGAGUUUUUGCAGAUUUUCAAAUAAAACUCAGAGAUUCCUUGUAUGACUCUCUAAAUCUCUCUUUUGUGGUAUUUCUGGAUCCUUACCAAGGCAGUGAUGGUAUAUGCCUUCUCUCAAGAUAUGUAGUAUUUGUGGUAUAAGGCAUAGUGACAUUGCCUUCUCUCUCACCCUACUCUAAUAAGGCUUUAAUAUCUAGAGCUUAUAGGUGGGAGAUAAAGUAUACAUACUUACAAGACAUUUAUUGUGUAGUCAAACCAUGGAUCCAAAGAAACAAAUCAAUAAGCCAAAUCAAGAUGUGCAUGUGUGGCGAAUGAAUGGUGUAUGGUGAUGAUGGUGAUAACAAUGGUGAAAGUCUAAUUCUACCUUUGCUCUUUUGAGGGGAUACAUACCUUCCUUGCUUUUUGAAACUUUAUGAGGAGAAUGAGAUGCUCUUCUUUUUCUUUCCUCUCAGGUGGGUAUCUUGUACCCCUAAUUCUACUGUCGGACACUUGUCCAUUUUUACCUCUCGUCUCACUUUUUCUUUCUUUCGAGGUUCCGGGCACUUGCCCCUUUUUAUUUCCUCAUUUAUUUUUUUUCUUUUCUCUCUUUUUUUUCUUCUUUUUUUUAGAGCACUCAUCUCUUAAGAUAAUAUAGCAAGUGGUAGUAGCAAGAUAACUUGAGCAAGAUAACUUGAGCAUUUAUUUCACAAGGGAAAAACACAGAUGUUUUUGGCUAUUCUCUCCCGAAUUAGGAGUAGAAUAUUUUUAGGUGAUUCUGGAGAUGGAAAUGGAUGGAUAUAUGUGGAUGGUACUUCCGGAGUAGAAGUAGCAUAUAUAUGAGUGAACGUGCAAGUGAAUCUUGAUUUAACCACAUGACAAGCUCCUAAGGGUCUACACAGCUUGACCACACUCAAUGCUCAUAAGCAGUAAAUAAUAAAUGUGUGGCUCAAAGUCUAGCAAGCAUGUAUAUAUGGCUGUGGUAGGAAUUUAAACUUUCAUCAUACAGGAACUCAUCAUGCAACAUUUUAAAGAUUUUUCAAAGAUAAAAUUCUCUAGAAUUCUAGCAUCUCUAGGAAUAGAUAAACAGCAGCUCAACCUUCCCAUAUCAUAUCCGUUAACAACUUAGAUUUCAAAUCAAGUUUUCAUCCCACAAGUUUAGAUCUAGAGCAAGCUUUAAAUUAUAACAGUUAUGUCUAAACUUGAGAGAGAACUUCAAAUUUGCAAAUUAGGCAGAGCAACUAUUCAUCAUAUCCAUGCUAGAGUUUUAUUAUUAAGAUUCAGAUUAGCAUAGCCACUUUAUUUAUUUAUUAAACACACUAAGCAAAAGAGAUAUAUAUAAGCACAAAAUCUUUAUUUGGUUUUUCAUAGUUUAUGUAUUUUAAUAUUCUAAUAUAAUAUAAGUAUAAAGAUAGGUAGAAAUACUUAGCGAGAUAAAUGGGGGUGCUCUCCCCCAAGCUGAAUUUUGACGUAAUUUCUCUUGAUGUAGCUAGCAGAUGGCAGAGGUGUAUUUGAAAGUCAGCAGCAUUCUGACAGCGAUUAGAAUGUCCUCCGUCUGCUAGUCUUCUUGAUUCUUAAAUUCUGUGGAGCUCAAAUAGACAACAAAGCUUGUGGAACUAAUUAAGUGUUAGCAUAAAUAUCUAGCCUUCAUCACGUUGAGCUUCCUCAAUAAAUAUUACUCCUUAUUUUUUAUAUUUUUAUUUUAUAAAGUAGAAAAGAAAUAUUUAUUUUAUUUUUAUGCCACCACAGUGAAGGUACUUAUGGGUUUUAUGCCACUCGUAUACUCACAUGGGGCUUAGUAUUUUUUAACAUUUUUAUUUUCUUUUCAAGAUAGCAUGAUUAACUAAUAAUUUAUUUAAGGAAAGUAAAUAAUUAAAUGGAAAAGGGAAUGCAGAAAGGAUAAAUAUGGAUAACUACCAAUCUUACCUUUCGGCGAGGGUUUAAUGUUUUAAGUCUUCUUGUCAAGACUUCUCAUCGUGUUCAUUCUCCAGGCGCGUCAUUUGAUUCAGGUGCGGACCUUGACGUCUGCACCUUUUAAUACGGUGUCACCCAUGUUCUUCGUUUGCCCAGCAGUUCGAAGUGCGGUGUUAGCAGUAUCUUGCUCAGUGUGUUUGUGCUCGUAGUGUACCUGCUCAUAGAGACAAGGCAGAGAUCAAGUGCAUGGGCCCUGUUGGUGGAAAACACCAACAGAACCAAAAGUGUAUUUGUUCUUCUCUAACCUUAAGCAUAGUGAGCAAGACAAGUUGAUGGAUGAUAAGUUCAUGAGUGUAGUACUUAUAACAUUUGUCAGAUCAGAUCGCUCAACCUUAUGGAAAGAUAAUCUAUCUAUGUAUAUGUCUUUUUCUUUAUAUCUCUCAAUGAUUGAAUGUGUAACAUUUUAGCUCAUAUGAUUAGGAGUGUGGGAUCAUGGAGGUAGUACUAAGAACAAGGAUUAAAGGACUAAACAUGUUGAAUCAGUUGGGUUGGUUAAUCUAGAGUUGUAAAUCAUACACGUUUGUCUCUUUUAUUUAUAUGGACGCCAGAACCAAGGAGAAGCUUAUAAAAGUGAUAGUCAAGUACCUUAAGAUGUUACCUUGCUCGAAGAGUGAUGGUACAGUAUCAUCUUGUGGAAGCUUUCCUUUCUUAGCGGUUGUGCGUCGUGUUUGUGGCACCCUCCAUGGAUCAUCUCUCUAUGAUGAAUGAGCUAUGUCCUUCUUGUGCAAAUUGUUAAACUUCAUGUGUCACUCUCUUCGUCUCUGAUGUGAGUUUAUCUCAGGACUUCCCAAAUCGAUAUUGAAAGUUUUUUCUGCAGGGGUUAGUCCGACAAAAUAUACCAAUAUCUACUCAAGCAGUUUUUUUAGUUCAAUAACCAAACUAGACUCCAUGUCUAAUUAGAUUAAGGAAGGCUAUUUAACCUAAGCACCAUGCUUAAUUUAAAUGCCAAUGGAAGUAUGGCGAGUACUUCCAAACCAACACUUGCUAGUAAAUAGACAAAGGUAGCAUUCCAGCGUUUAUAGAGAUCUACUCAAGUGGAGAUGAAGUAGUGUGAUUAGUAUUUAACAAAUUGAGCAUGUCUCAAAGGUAGGGACAACCAGCAUAGCAACAUGGCAAAGGAUGUUUUUAUGUAAAGUACUCCCCCAAGCUUGAAUUUUGCAAAAUUCAAGUUUGGAUGAAUUUAAUUCAAUGUUGUAUGAUGAUUGGUUGGACAUACCUUGUGCUUGUCAUUCAUCCGAUCUUCUUGCUCCAAUCUUAGAAAGGUUAGUGACAAGAAUACCCGAAGGAAUAUAUUUUUUUUACAAUUAUCCUUAUAUGCUCAAUACACAAGGUAAUGUUGCAAAUAAUUAAAGGCUCAUGUUACGAUCUGAUCAAUGCUUAUUUUAAGACACUAAGCUUGUCCUUGGGAAAGCAUCAGUUUAUGUUGGCGAAGUGGUUUCCCCUCCGACGCCAACCUAUAUCUAGAUCAACUCAACGAGAUCUGCAAUAUUUAUUAUAGACAUAUGCAUCGACAACCGCCCUUUUAAAGGUUUUAUAAAUAGAAAGGAAGAGGGGGUUGGAGAUCUCAAGUGUGGUGAUGUCGGAGAGACCAAUAGAUUGGGAAGAUGUUGCAUAUGAGCAUGGAGUAAACGAAGUGGCUAUGAAAUAAAUUCCAUGCUCAUUAAUGUUAUCUUCGUCUCUAAUCUGAAUGUUCGGAGUUUCUCCUGGAUUGGUCUCACCUAUGUCCUCUUCUGUAGUUGGAUGAAUCUCAUCUUCAAAGGGAGUCAAGAACUCACCAUUUGAAAUUGAGCCAAAGUUAGAACCUAUUAAGGCUUCUUCCUUAUCCAUCCAUUCUACACAUUCUAGCGAUUUAGAACUUGUGAUCAAAAUAGGGGAGGUGUUAGAAUUUUCUAUAUGGCUUAGCUCUCCUUCUAUGGCAUUACUUGACAUGCCAUCCUUAUGGUCUUCAUGACUCCUAUGGUUUGGUCGUCUUGGUGAAUUGCUAGGAUCAUCAUGAGACUGAAAAGAAGAGGGAUAAGAGGGAUCUCUAAGGUCAAGGAUGGAUUUAGAACUUGUGAACAUGGAAGGGGAGUAGAUAGAAUUGUCUAUAUGGCUUAGCUCUCCUUCACUUGAUAUGUCAUCCUCGACUUCUUCAUGAUAGGAACCAGGACAUUCUCUAAGAGAAAUAUUAUUGCAAUGAUUUGAAUUAUCCCUGCUUGAAGGUCUCUUAUAGAACCAGAAGUCUAAACCAUCAGCAUCUAAAAGAUUUAAGGUCGGAAUUCCUUCCUCCCUUGGAGAAUUUUGGGGUAUUGAUGGUUUAGGAUCGAUAGCUAAAGUUUGGGAUUGAAGUGGUUGUGAUCUGGCUAUCGAAACUUCUUCUUCUUGUCUAGGAACUGGUUCUUUCUCUUUCUCAGGGAUAUAAAAGCUAGGAGACUUUCCGCUCAUUAAAUCAAUCAAAUUCCAAGCUUCACUAGCGGAUAGGUGGUGGAAAGAUCCUCCAGAGGCCGCAUGAAGGGUUUGCUUAUUUUUCCUACUAAGGCCCUCAAAAAAGUGAAUAAGAAGAACUUCUUCUGGAAUAGAAAGUUUUGGGCCAGUGAGAGUAAGGAUAAUAAAGCGGUCCCAUGAUUUGCCAAGAGAUUCUUCUUCCAGUUGUCUAAAAGAAAGAAUCUCACACCGAAGUUCCACCACUUUGGAGAUUGGAAAAUAUUUAGAAAGAAAACUACUAUAUAACUCCUUCCAAUCUCCAUGAACACUCCCUACUUUGAGUUUAUACCAAUGUCUAGCUUUUCCCGUUAAAGAGAACGGAAAGAGCUUCCAUUUAAGGGUCUCAUCGGACAUGCCUUCUAUGCGAAGGAUGUCACAGACUCGAUAAAACUCUCUUAGGUGUGUGUAUGGGUUUUCCUCACCUUUUCCUGAGAAAGGUUGUUUUUGAAUAAAUUCUAUGUAUUCGGGGUCUAUCUCAAAACUAGAUGCUAUGAUAGGCUUUGAAGAUUUUGGUGGUUCGAGAUGUGUGCCCAUAGGUCUAUGAAAUUCAUAGAUAGACAUGUUUGAAUUCAUAAUAGACCAGAGAUCAAGGAUUAGAUAAGAAGAAAGAAUAGCAGAGAUGAGGCAAAGGAUAAAAGGAAAAUAUUUUAUUUAUUUAUUUAUUUAUUUAUAAAAUGAUUAAACUAGUUCGUAGUCAACUCAGCAACCGUUUCCCCGGCAACGGCGCCAAAAAUGCUUGUUGACACUUGCUAACACCACUUGAAUGCUAGGUUGUCAUCCCCAGCAUGGCACUAGAGUGUACUAUGGUAUUUAUACGCACACAGAUAAUCCGGAAGCGCACGGAUACCGUUGAAGCUUUUACCCGGUUAAAGGUUUUAUCGUAUCCACAGGGAAAUGGGAGAACUGAUCUACGCUCUAACUUAACCAAGAUAAGUAAAUAGGUGUGAAUAGGAAAGAUGGUAGAAUCAAAUAAGAACAAUAUUAAAGGUAAGAUAACAGUGAGUGAUAAUAUGGGAAUAGAGAGUAGAGCAAUUCUAGUAUAUGGGCGAUGGUAGCAGAAUAGAGAGAAUAACUAUGGUUUCUCUACUUCAAAGGGGUAUGUCUAUGUCUGGGACGAACCACGUGAUAAGAGUACACCACAAAGGAUGCUUAUCCAUAGGCCGAUAAACCCUACCCGUCCUGCUAACGAGAGGUGGACUACACGGGACCAACGUAACUGUCACCUACGCGGCCUACCACACGAUCCAGCUAGACAGGGGAUAUCCACAAGUAAUCUAGGUCUAAGCACCACGCUUACACCUAUACUACAACUCUGACCUAUAGGGUCCUAUAGAUUAGAAGUACUCAAAAGAGUUGUGAACCAGAACAUACAUGAUUAGUAAUUGCAUAAUGAAUUAGAAGUAGAUUACCAGAGUCAUCCCAUGAGCAAGCUUGAUUAGAGCUUGAUCAUGGCGAAGUACAACCGGAGGAAGAACCGACAGGCCGGCCUCUCCUCUAAUCCUCCUUCGCUCUCCAUCUCGCUACUAUCUAGAUCUACUCUAGUUUAGAGAAGAGAGGAGAGCUCUCAUCUCUAAACCCUAGCUUUUGCUCUGUCUAUGAAUAAUGAAUAAUGAUCAAGGGGUGCCUCCUCCAGGGGCCAGGGGGUCUAGUUUUAUAGUCCCCUCAAGUGAACCUGGGCCGUCGGAUCAAACUGACAUUGAUUGAAUGGUUAUUCUUGAUCCUUUAGGUCGGUGGAGCAUAAUCCGCGAGAUUGAGCGUGAUUGGCCGAAAAAGGUGGGCGGGCGCCCUAAGGACUUGGGCGGGCGCCCUGUCCCUGACUCCGUUCGGUCUCCGCUUCCUUCCCGUGGCUUCUGGAGUCUUCUGGAUGUAAGAUAAUUGUGCGGCACGUUGAUAUCUCUAUGUAAUCCCGACGUGUGGGCCUUUCUUCCUUAUUUCCUGAUAACCCCCUGCAGAAAUAGACAAACACCAAAACUCGUGGAAUUCUGUCAGAUAAAACCCUAAGUCUAGAUGUUGAUUUCAUUUGGAUCCUUUUCUUUGUUUAUUUGAUAAUUAAAUUUGAUACUUAAGGACCGUCAACAAACUCCCCCAAGCUUACCUCUUGCUCGUCCCUGAGCAAGGAUAGACUCCGCAAUGGAUCAGAAGUUGUUGCAAUAUCUUUAAAAAUUGACGGUACACAUGCUUUUAAAUGAGGUCCCAUCUCUGAGUUAGAGUAAACUGUCAAGACUUAAAACUUACUUACUUUACCUUUCACCAUGGGACUUGUAACCGUCACUUCUGUCUUGAGUGGUUAAAAGAUAGAACAGUCCAGUCAAGUGCCACGUCGCUUAUUCUUGAUCAGCUAUAGCUCUGGAGUUUUUGUAGAUUUUCAAAUAAAACUCAGAGAUUCCUUGUAUGACUCUCUAAAUCUCUCUUUUGUGGUAUUUCUGGAUCCUUACCAAGGCAGUGAUGGUAUAUGCCUUCUCUCAAGAUAUGUAGUAUUUGUGGUAUAAGGCAUAGUGACAUUGCCUUCUCUCUCACCCUACUCUAAUAAGGCUUUAAUAUCUGGAGCUUAUAGGUGGGAGAUAAAGUAUACAUACUUACAAGACAUUUAUUGUGUAGUCAAACUAUGGAUCCAAAGAAACAAAUCAAUAAGCCAAAUCAAGAUGUGCAUGUGUGGCGAAUGAAUGGUGUAUGGUGAUGAUGGUGAUAACAAUGGUGAAAGUCUAAUUCUACCUUUGCUCUUUUGAGGGGAUACAUACCUUCCUUGCUUUUUGAAACUUUAUGAGGAGAAUGAGAUGCUCUUCUUUUUCUUUCCUCUCAGGUGGGUAUCUUGUACCCCUAAUUCUACUGUCGGACACUUGUCCAUUUUUACCUCUCGUCUCACUUUUUCUUUCUUUCGAGGUUCCGGGCACUUGCCCCUUUUUAUUUCCUCAUUUAUUUUUUUUCUUUUCUCUCUUUUUUUUUCUACUUUUUUUUAGAGCACUCAUCUCUUAAGAUAAUAUAGCAAGUGGUAGUAGCAAGAUAACUUGAGCAUUUAUUUCACAAGGGAAAAACACAGAUGUUUUUGGCUAUUCUCUCCCGAAUCAGGAGUAGAAUAUUUUUAGGUGAUUCUGGAGAUGGAAAUGGAUGGAUAUAUGUGGAUGGUACUUCCGGAGUAGAAGUAGCAUAUAUAUGAGUGAACGUGCAAGUGAAUCUUGAUUUAACCACAUGACAAGCUCCUAAGGGUCUACACAGCUUGACCACACUCAAUGCUCAUAAGCAGUAAAUAAUAAAUGUGUGGCUCAAAGUCUAGCAAGCAUGUAUAUAUGGCUAUGGUAGGAAUUUAAACUUUCAUCAUACAGGAACUCAUCAUGCAACAUUUUAAAGAUUUUUCAAAGAUAAAAUUCUCCAGAAUUCUAGCAUCUCUAGGAAUAGAUAAACAGCAGCUCAACCUUCCCAUAUCAUAUCCGUUAACAACUUAGAUUUCAGAUCAAGUUUUCAUUCCACAAGUUUAGAUCUAGAGGAAGCUUUAAAUUAUAACAGUUAUGUCUAAACUUGAGAGAGAACUUCAAAUUUGCAAAUUAGGCAGAGCAACUAUUAAUCAUAUCCAUGCUAGAGUUUUAUUAUUAAGAUUCAGAUUAGCAUAGCCACUUUAUUUAUUUAUUAAACACACUAAGCAAAAGAUAUAUAUAUAUAAGCACAAAAUCUUUAUUUGGUUUUUCAUAGUUUAUGUAUUUUAAUAUUCUAAUAUAAUAUAAGUAUAAAGAUAG